GCUUAAACAGUCGGUACAGCUUUAAGGCAAAGGAGAUUGCUCCAUUCUAGAGCAAAUUUUUAUUUAAAAAAAAAGCGCGCGGUAUUCUUUGUAAUUCAUCGUCUUCCAAAAUAUAAAAUUACACUAAACUGCUAGCUACUCAUCGUAUAGUUUUAAACUUUAGGAAAGCUUCUAAGACGCAUUAAAAUCUGAACAUUUGGCGUUUUGUUUGAAUACAGAAGAAAUAAUAAUCUCUGGAUAUUCUACAAAAGUGGCUUUCAAGUGACGAAAGGGACAUAAUUAUGUGGAUUUUACUUGGCAAUGUCUAAUUGUAUAGGAAAAAGCCAUAGAUUGUUUUCUUGUGCCGUUUUUGAAAAUAUGCAGAAUGAAUAUUUAAUUUGAUAAGCUUCUGGGGUUAAAAUAACCUUAGAGAUGAAUAAACUGCCUCACUCGCACCAGAAAGUUUCUGUUGGAUUCAUCAGUUUUCACUCAUUUAAUAGAAAUGCAACCUCACAGAAAUUAUCAAAGAAACAAAUUCUGCAGUUAUUAGAGCAGCUCUCUGUGGACUCUUCCUUUGUUUGUUGGAGCAAUGAAACAACGCCUUUCCUUAUAUGUGGAGUAACUGCCUUAUCAGCUCUUGAUAAAAAUUGUGUUGAUAGCAGUCAUCUGAAUGGCCAGGGGACUUUCUCUCAGUUCAGUACAGAAGUAAUUUCGUUUUUUUUAGGGUAGACAACUUAUCUGUGUCCAUGCCGUUUUGUUUUACAAAUCACCAGUACUGUUUUCUCAGAUCCAUAUACAUCUCAGUUCCAUGCUAUCCAUCUGAACCAAUGCUGGAUGCGAGGAAGUAUUCUCUUAAGAUUACAUUAAAGUACAAGAAAUGCAAGAACACAAUGCUGAAAGGUUUUGAAGCAAUUGGUCACGGCACAACAGAUAAUAUGGACUUCAACAAGCGCAUAUUGGAAUUCUGAUCCUAUGGAAUCCGACUAACAGACCAGACUUACUGAUGAUUUAUAAAACCUGAAAUAUUAGACUAAGCUUAAUGUAUCAACAUUGUACAAAAAAAAUCGGAAUUUAAGUGACCUGCACAGUGGAUUGAAAGUGAAAGAAAUUUUUAUAAUCCUCGCAUAUUCCAGGAAAGUGGCUUUUAAGUAAGUCUGAGGUAGUGUGGAAACCAUGGCCAUUACUUCUUACGCUGUUUUGAAGAGAUAAACAGAAAAGCGAAUAAUUUCAGUUUUUAGAGUAAUAAUAGCAAGAACUUUGGAGAUAAUAUCAAUUUAAAUUACUUUACUGGUCCCGAAAGUAUUCUGACGGAAUUCUUCGUGUUUACUCAUAAUGGAACGUCUUAUGAAUCGAAAGAGGCAGUCUCCUGAAAUUGAUAUUAGAGCAGCGCAUUCUGCAAAGACCCUUUAAUUGAAAAACGCCUUAAUACCACUCCUCAUCUGUACAGUGAACCAUUACGACUCCAGCCACAAAUUCUAAAUAUGGGAGGUGUCUGGAUUGGCGGAAAAAAUGGUAUUGAAGUG